UACGUAGGGUGCAAGCGUUGUCCGGAAUUAUUGGGCGUAAAGAGCUCGUAGGCGGUCUGUUGCGUCGGCUGUGAAAACCCGGGGCUCAACUCCGGGCCUGCAGCCGAUACGGGCAGACUAGAGUUCGGCAGGGGAGACUGGAAUUCCUGGUGUAGCGGUGAAAUGCGCAGAUAUCAGGAGGAACACCGAGUGCGAAGGCGGUGUCUGGGCCGGAACUGACGCUGAGUAGCGAAAGCGUGGGAGCGAACAGG
rnacentral:rRNA from 1 species